AACGCUAGCUACAGGCUUAACACAUGCAAGUCGAGGGGCAGCGCAGUGUAGCAAUACAUGGGCGGCGACCGGCGCACGGGUGCGUAACGCGUAUCCAACCUUCCCGUUACUCAGGGAUAGCCUUCCGAAAGGGAGAUUAAUACCUGAUGGUGUUCAAAUUCCGCAUGUUAUUUGAAUUAAAGAUUUAUCGGUAACGGAUGGGGAUGCGUGACAUUAGGUAGAUGGCGGGGUAACGGCCCACCAUGCCUACGAUGUCUAGGGGUUCUGAGAGGAAGGUCCCCCACACUGGAACUGAGACACGGUCCAGACUCCUACGGGAGGCAGCAGUGAGGAAUAUUGGUCAAUGGUCGGAAGACUGAACCAGCCAAGUAGCGUGAAGGAUGAAGGUUCUAUGGAUUGUAAACUUCUUUUAUACGGGAAUAAAACCACCUACGUGUAGGUGCUUGUAUGUACCGUAUGAAUAAGCAUCGGCUAACUCCGUGCCAGCAGCCGCGGUAAUACGGAGGAUGCGAGCGUUAUCCGGAUUUAUUGGGUUUAAAGGGAGCGUAGACGGGGGAUUAAGUCAGUUGUGAAAGGCUGCGGCUCAACCGCAGCACUGCAGUUGAUACUGGUUCCCUUGAGUGCGGUUGAGGUAUGUGGAAUUCGUGGUGUAGCGGUGAAAUGCUUAGAUAUCACGAAGAACUCCGAUUG
rnacentral:rRNA from 1 species